rnacentral:misc_RNA from 1 species
GUAGGUGAACCUGCGGAAGGAUCAUUACCAAAUCCAAAACUUUAUCAACCCCUAUUGUGCACCGAGAAUGGUUCCGUUCCCUGUCUUCUUUUGGGCAGGCAGGGAAUGUAUUUUUUUUUUACAACACCUUUUCAACCAUUUUUCAACAACCAAUAUGCUGAAAGCAAAACAAAAAACGAAACAUGAGACAACUUUUAACGGUGGAUCUCUUGGCUCGU